GUUGCCAUGGAGUCCCAAGGCUGUAGGAGGGGCCUCAACCAUCUCAUUUUCAAUGAAGGAGUAGAUAUAGACCUCAUCACUACAGACCGGGCCACAUCAGUUCGGAAAAUAAUGAGGGAGGAAUUCCAGAAUGUUCACCAUGAAUUUGAUCCUUGGCAUGUAUCAAAAGGCAUAAAGAAAAAACUGGUAGCACUCGCCAACAAAAAGGAAAAUCAGGUCCUGCAGGGCUGGAUUCGGGCGAUCCUCAAUCACUUUUGGUUCUCAUGCUCAUCUUGUGGUGAGAGUGCUGAGGAACUGAAGCGACGGUGGACCUCAGUCCUCCACCACAUCUGUGGGGAGCACACAUGGGAGCAAGAUGGAAGAAAGUGGGCAUGCCCUCACCCUGCUCUCAACCCAGAUCAGCAAAGGACAAAGCGAUGGCUCC